CUCUGUGCAGACAGAACGCGUCUCGCCGAGGUGUCGCGGCUGCUAAGCCCGGCCGCCCGCCCCAGUUAUGCCCGGCGUGGAAUAUGCCGUGAGGGCAGCUCCCAGCAGGAUUUCACAGAAUCACAGAAUCAAGUGUUAAAGAAGAGCUGCAGAAGAAAGUAGUUUGUUGACCAAAGUAUCAAUAUCCUAUCUCUACAUACUGGAUAAUGCUGAAGAAAGGCAAAUGUUUACUCGGCUGGACAUUGUGUGUGUUUGGAUUUCUCAAGGAUUCUCCCCCGACUAACAUGGAUGUCCCACCAUUCCUUGCAGUUGAAGGUUGCUCCUUGGCGCAGUGAAUGAAGAACAUGCAGGGAUUGCUAAUGGGUUUGGGAAGCGUAGACUCUCUGCUGUCUCUGUGACCAUGCCGUGAUCGUGUCUGAGGGCCAUCAGUUUACGUAUCCUCAUUCCAACCCUACCGGGAAACCUGACGGCUUAGAAGGGGGAAGUAAGGCAGCGCGUGUGUGCAUAGAAACAUCAUGAAGAUUAUUUCCCAUAUUGUAACUAAUUCAGUCUUCAGAUGCACCAUUAGACUUCUUCUUUGCUUACUGUGGAUUGGAUAUUCUCAAGGAACCACACAUGUAUUAAGAUUUGGUAAGAUUUCCCGACACUUUUUUCAUUGUGUGUUUAAGCCUGAAUGUGAUAUACGUGGGAUUGACUCAGAAGGGGGUGCUGGGGGAGAGCUGGGACGUGCUGCCGGAGUCGGGCAUCGGUCAUCCCUCUUAAUUUUGCAUCCGGAGGGAUGAAUUGCUGUGUGAUUUUUUUCUUUUUUUUCUGUCGCUGCUGCUCAUUGUAGCCGUAGUAACGGCACGAUGGUGAUGAUAAUUAUAAUAACAAUAGAAAAAAGACUGGCAAACGCGGUUGCCUAAGGCUCUGCGCAGCUUGCGUGGCUUCCUCGUAAUUGUUUCCAUUGUUUUUCUUUAUUGUUUCCAUAGUAAGGGAAAGCAUGGCUAAUACGGUGCUUGAUCAGUUAAAAACCUGUCAAGUAGUUGUUAAGUUUCGGCCGUCCGUCUCUGAUGCCCCCCCGAGCCGAUCCCGUGCGGGCGUAACGCUGUGAUUUGAGACCUUUGGGCUGAUUUCCCUUGAAGUAUCUGUCUGUUUGCUUGACACUUGAGUGGCGUUUAGGGUUAGAGAAGAGAUGAUUUAUGUCUUGAGCGGUGCUCGGGGAAGAGCUUUUGCGGUACUUUUCAAAAGCACAGCUUUUCUAUGCGAGGAAAGUUGUGGGAGUACCUCCCUCUCCCGAGGGAAAAAAAAAAAAAAAAAAAAAAAAAAAAGAAAAAAAAAAAAAAAAAGGCAAAAAAGCAGAUCAGAGAUCAGAAUGGUAUUUCAAGAAUAGAGAUGGUUUACAGUUUAAAAGUUAUCCCAGCUGGACCAGGGCACUAACCUUAAGAGCUCAGGCUGUGCAAGCGCGCGUUCGUGUGUCUAAACAAGCAAGCGAAAGACAAAUUCCAGCCGCUGCACUCCCCACAGAAGUUUUGCAGUGAGGAAAGGACGGAAAGUUCGGAAAGCAGGUCCGAAGGGGUCAGUGCGGCCGGGGAUGUCCUUCGGUGCUAGUCCGGGGCGAGCCACGAUGGGGGUCCCGCCUCAGCCUCCUCCUAGUCGCCCAGGCACCGCAGGCGAGCCGCGGCGGGGGCGGCCAGGAAGGGACAGGCUGAAUAUCGGUCCCCCGUACAAGCGGCAUCCUCCGUGCCUGCCGACAGCACCGCUGAAGGGAGGAAAAGCGAAUCGUCCACAUUCGCGCUGUCCGCGAUAAACUGUGGCAGCCGCUGCAUCCAUUUCUGUGGGGCACAGGAAUCUCUUCCCUUUGCCUGGGAAUAAUGCCUUGGUUUGUAUCUAUUCUAGUUUAACUCAGCACCCCCGCACACACUUUUGUAUGGAGGGGAAGGUGAGUAAUGAUUAAAAAGUCACCAGGCUGUUACCAAUCUCGUGUGCUGAAUUCUUAGCAGUACUUUUUUUUUCUGCUUUCAUCUGGUCUAAAGGUGGUGCUUAAGACACGUUGCUCUUAGCAACUGUCCUCAGGAAUGCCCGUGUCUUUGGACAUGGAUAAACGGGACAGUAUAACAUUGUGGGGUCUAUUUUGCGAUCAGUCCGAUCCAUAAUCAUGGCCGUGAAUUUAGUGCCUGUAAUCUGGCACUGUCUGUCUUUCCACGGGCGCCGGGAGUCUGUCUCUAGGAGCCUGAGUUACUUUCAGGUAUAGCUGUAUAAACAAACAUCUUCCUGGUCACGGCACUAGCAAGAGGUGGACUUUCCUUCUCUGGAGCGGCAUUCCCUCUGAAUUGUUAGUCUCCUCUAGAGACAGCCCUAGGGAGCAGCGGUCUGGCAAGCGUUAGAGCAAUAAAUAAUCCCGGGGCUGAAAGCGAUGCAGAGGGGCUCUGAUACUCGGUGGCAUGGUGGUGCACGUGUAUGUUUUACUGGGCUGACUUCCCUUCCCAACUGCGUCCUGGUCACACAGCUGGCCAACGAGU